UCAGCAACAUUAUUCAAAUUU
rnacentral:piRNA from 1 species